GCAGGUGUAGUAAGAGCCGUAAGCCUCACUGCGAAGGACUCGGAAGGAGGGAAGAAUAAUGUAUGUAAAGCCUCUUGCUAAAUACCUGAAGCACUUCUAAACUGUCCCAGCUGCAAAUGCAAUAUCUCGGGACCUUUCACAGCUCCAACUAUGAUCAGUGCAUAAAUCUACCUGCAACACAGGAUGUUGGAAAAUUACCGAGACACAGCCGCGUCCUCCCUGCUGCUUGGUGAGAAAGGAAGGAUGCGCCUUCAGUUCAAAUACCCGGCUUGGUGACCUUCUUGUGUGAUCUUGAAUGCUGCGUGCAGCGUGCCUCCCAGCCCCUGCAGACAACAACUAGGAGAUAUUCAUGACCGUAGAAGGAACCAACACACAGGCACAAAGGUCUCUGGACAAGCAGGGAAAUACAGCAGCCCAGAGAGUGGCCACAGACAUGCUGAGCAGCAGAUAUGAUGAGGAAGGGCUUUCGUGUGCUGCAAGUGCACACUAACACACCAACAGCUGUUACUGCUGCUUUUCCACCAGCAGUUUGGCAUUAACCAUGUGUCAAGAUAAAACCAAUUUCUCUUGGAUGAAGCCUGGCAUGUACCUGACCCAUUUCGUCAAGCUUCUCUGCCUCUACCCAAACAUUUUUGGGUAGAAGGCCAUUUGGUUGGGUUUUAGACUUGCUGGCACCACAGAGACACAAUGGUCCCUCAUACCUGUGUCUGAGCAUCCUCUAUGGGCAAAGAUGGGCAUUGCUUAUUCCCACAUGUGCAUGGGCAUACUUCAGUGAGAACUCAGCUAGCCUUGACAGAAACACUGACUGCCACCCAAGCCUGUAGUACAGCCAUAUCUUUGUUCUGUUCAGGUUUAACAUAAUAAAGAUACUUGCUCAGGUAUCUAGGAGCCACAUUAACUGUAAACACAAUUAGGAGACAUUCGUAUCAGCUCCACACAAAUAUGGCCAUCUGGCUGCCUGGCCAUCCCCCUGACCAUUUCAGGUAGGAGGAAGCACAUGCCCAGCACUCUCCAGAGACCCUACUAAAUAGAUGUUCUCACAGUGCCCCUCAGAGCAUGCCUGGGAAGCCAUCAAGAAUCAGCUAUUUUGGGACUGUUGAUGGUGAAGCCAGUACUGGCAUCUGAGGGCUCUCUCAGAAAACACUUUUUGCCAUCAGUACAAUUUUUUCUGCCCCCUGAGGGAAGCAGCAAGAGCUCUGCUGCUGACCAUGUAUGUCUACAAGUACUUGUUGCUGGAGGAGAGUCAUUCUCUCAGCAUAGCAUGUCUCCAGCCUUCAGACUUUAUGGCUCAUAACCAAACCCUUCGUGGAGCUCUGAGGGACCCAAGGGAAGCCCCAAGUAAGCAGCGUGUGCACUUCCCUACCGGUGUGGGGUAUCCUUGGGAUGAGUCCGUUGCAUGUCCAUUCGUGUUGUGUCAAAGUCACAGCAGAACAACUGAGGGGGUUGCACUGCUGGGAGAAAAAGUCUGUAAGUUCAAGGCUGAAAUUAACAGCAGCUGAGAUGAAUAAACACCCACAAGCAUCUUGUGGGCUCUGCCCUCUGUCGGAAGGUACAGUCCCUGCUAUCUCACAUCCCUCCACAACCUCAUGUGCUAAUCUGCACCAGCCCUUCGUGCUCCUACCCCCAUCCUAAACCCGGCUGGAGGAAAGACCUGAAACAUCCAAGCCACCCAGGCUGGAAUCACUGUCCCACAUCCCUUGGCUCCUCCUAGCACUGCAGGGACCUGGAGGGUGCAGUGGGCCUGAACACCAUCCCUUCAUGGGGACCAACAAACUAAGGUGCUUGGGGCAUGGAUACUUGUUUGUAGCAUGGGUGUUUGACCCAGGAGGAGCGGCAUAUAAAAUUUUAUCUGGAAGGAUGAGUGCAUAUUUUCACUGCUGAAACAAGAGACCCACAGCCUGUUAAAGUGUUUUUCUGUAGAAACACAGCAUCUGUUUGGGUUAAGAGCUCAGGACAUAGACAGGGUUGAAAAUGUUGCAGAGGACCUGUCUUGACCUAGGGAAGGAGAAGAGGGUCCCUCCUCUAAAAGCCAACAAACCUGAGCUCCUCCAGUAGAGCCAUGUACAGGCUGGGUAAGCUGUGCAUGGAAGGUGGUCAUGCUUGGUUUCCUCUGCAAUGCUGUUAUCCUGAAUAAACAUUAGAUUGGUUUUGGAGAGCUGCCCAGAUGAUCAUUAACCUUCUUCUGGCCCAUGACAGGAAACCAGCCUGCAACACUGAGCUAAAAUUAGGCCUGUAGGGCACUGGGGCUUGCCAGAUACUGCUAUAUCUAGGCAGAAAUCCCCUUCAAAAAAGCAGACAACCAGAGGGUUCAACCUUAAGCUUGGCUCCUCAGCUCCAGAGGAUAAGAACUAAAUCAUUAAAAUCACAAAAUAAUUCAGGUUGGGAGAGAUGUCUGGAAGUCUUCUCCAACCAGAGAAGCAGGACCAAGGUUGAACAAGUCAGUAAGAGGUUAGCAAAGGUGUUUGCCUCCACCUCAGCCAUGGUGACUCCUGUGUGCAGGACACUUGCUGAAUUCCUUUUUGCCCACCUGAGAUCACAGCAGACCAUUGCCAUGAAGUCCUACAUGUGCUGUAUAUUUUUCUUGUCCAUCUGCCAACAGUCAGCAGUACAGUCCACCUAGGAACUCCAGCUGAGGUAGGCACUGGUCAGAGACCCACAUUUUCUGGCUCGUGACCCCCCUUCACAGGGGAUGAGUGGGACAGAGAGAGAAGAGUGCUUUUGAAAAUAUGACCAUAAAAAAAAGCAAAACACUUGUGCCUCUGAAAGUAAUUUGUAACAAAGCUCACCAUUUCAUGGAUCCACCACCAGAUUUCAUUCUGUAUAAAAGUGGGUUUUUCUUAUCUGGGAUGCAAAGGGUUACCUGGGCCUCCUGCAAAAAUAAAUUAAUGAAUGAAAGCAGUAAAAUCCUCUUCCAAAUAGCAGCAAAGAUCUGAGCAAGGAUGACAAUGAAGCAGAGACAAGGCACAGUUCAGAUUGUCAGUGCUGAGGAACACCAGCAGCUUCGCUUCCCUGCACGGGGCUGGCUCCCUCCAUUGUAUCGGUGCUGGAAAAACAUGCUUUGAUCUUCAGCACUAUUUACAGAGGGGAAACAGGAGUCCUGCUUCCACCCCAGACCUCUGCUUUUCUCCAGCCUAAUAUCAGCAUAACCAUCCUAUAAUGGAGCUGUGAUUCAGGCUGAUUAUUUCUAAGGAAGAACUCCAUCAAGUAAAUGCUGAGAGGCUUUCUCCCAUGGAAACACAAUUUUCUUAUUACUACUGUUGUACCCGAUCAGAGCUUUUAGUACUCUACAUCCCCUAAAAUCUUUUUCCUCUUCACCUUCCUCUAACUCUGCCCCUCUAAUUGCACUCCUUGGCUCUUUGAGGGCUCAACUGUCACAGGCUGGAGGUGACAUUUCAUAUCUGCCCAUGCUGGUAUUUCAGAAGGCUGGUUUAAUGCACAGGUAGCCCAGCUGGGCUUAAGAGGAUGUUCACCAGGGAAGAUCAUUUAUGCAUUUACUUAAACUCAGCAGAGAAUUUUGCUCAGUGGCCCACAGCAGUGUGCAAUAGGGUUGUCAUCUCGAUAGACCCUGGAAGCUAUGCAGCAUGAGAUGGAUGCAAAUGACUUCAGACCGCAGCUGAGUGAAAGGCAGAAUAUCUGUAUUUCCUGAAAUCCUAAGAGCUAACCUGUCUUGAAAACAUUGUCAUUUUAACCCAGAAUUUAUUUUGCCAUAGAACUAAAAGGUUCUUUAAAGUGUUUGCACAAACAAGUUUCUUUUGGCCAUUCCCAGACUGCAGUGCUGGCCUCAGCCUGGCUGGUGGAGGCACAAUGGCCUUGACCAGUUACAGCUAAAUUGGCCUAAAUCUCAACUUCCAAGAUCACAGAUUUUCAGCCAGAGGUUUAAUUUUGCAGAAAAUACUUUAUACACCAGAAAAUUAUUUCCCUGGAGAAUUCCUCUCAUAGAACCAGCUGCUGAGGAAGCUGUCUCCUAUGGAAAUCUAUGUCAGGCAGCAGCAAGGGCUGGCUGUUCAAAGGCAGGAGUCAGGGGCGACCCCAGCGCAGGGGGUUCUCUCCCCACCCAGGGUGGUGUCUCCCAGCUCAUGAACACAGCAGGCAAGGUGCUGGUAACAGGGCCUGUGGUCCCAGGCAAGUCCCAUUACCCAUAUCCAGGGUCCAUCAAGGAGUCAAGUCAGGAGCAAAAGGAGAUGGGGCCCGGGGCAGCACUGGACACAAGCUGCAGCGCAUGUCUGAGGGGUCCAUCGAGGAGAUUGGCCACCUGCCACCACACAGGCCUGAGGUCUGUCCUGGAGGCAGGGCUGGAGAGAGUCACACCGUCAGCAGAGCUCAGGAGAAGACUAGAUGCCCAGAGCUGAGCUUAUAUGAAGCUUUUGAGCCCAUGGGCAGGGGGUGUGGGUGGAGGUCCCAGCUGAGGCUGAUCAGGGUCAUUAGUGUCUCAGGGCCUUGACAACCAGAUGCAUUUCAGGCUCCUCAGACAGAAAGUGUCCCAUGCCUCCUGUAAAGAGACUGUAAAAUGAUCCAGCAGCCAGAGACUCUGUGGACACCAAGGAGCCAUCACUGUCUUGAUUUCUAAUGACUUGUAUCCCCCUUGAAUACAAAGAGAGAAACGUUGGCCCUGGCACCAUGUGGGGCCCAUGAGGGUUGAUACAGUGGUAACAGUGUAUAGAGACCAAGCGUGUAAUCUCUGUUCGCUUCUUCUAGCCUACCCCAGAAAAGCGAUCUCUUCCCUAUCCCUCCCACCUGGCUACUUGUCAUCUAGUUUGUGACCUCCUGAGGUUUCAGGAAAAGCCAUCCUGUAUGCGAUGCUGGGCACUUCUCUCUCAGCCCCCUUUUACCUCUCUGCUUCAUUUCUUCUUCAUCUCUCUUCAAAUCUCAGUGGAAAACAUAUCUCUUCUCCCUUGCCUAUUUUUCUUAAAUAACAAAUAAUAGCAGGAGAGAGAGUAGAAUUGACUGGAGGACUCUAUUAUCUAACAUUGUGAGGCAUUUGGGAAUAAGGUUGUGAUGCACAAAAUGCUGCCUAAACCCUGUCUGUGGAGGCAAUAUUAGUCCCAGGACCUCUAGAUAUAAAAUGAACCUGAAUUUUACAGUCCUGGGCAUCUUUAUUAUUCAGUGUGGUUGUGAUUCUGACCAACAUCACCCGUCAGGAGGCAUGUAGCAAACACCAGGAAUACGAAUGAGCAGAAAAACCUGCCUGGAAGCAUCCUUUCCCCACCUGACAUACACAUGAUGGACGUCAAGCCGUUUAGGGGAGACUUCAUCACUGAUAAAUGUUUUCUCUGCCAUCUUGCAGAGAUUAUUUUAUGCAUAAUGAAGACCCAAAGUUAAUUUUAAGGUUUGGUGCUUGUUAGCCAAAUUUUCCCUCUCCAUCUCUGGGUGACUAAAUAUUUAGCGUUUGUAAUGUAUUGCUCCCAUUUUGCUCUGGCUCUCUUUGUAGUGGGGCUCCUUCAUUUAUUGAUAAAAUGGCCCAAGCAGCUGUGAAAGGGUCUAAGAGAAGCUGAAACACAGCCAGCUGGAGAUGGAGCAGCUAGGGAGAAUGAAGAUCAGAGAUGCAGAAAUGCCAAAGAGAGGAGCGCUGUUGUGUGUAGAUGCACGCACACGCGCGUGCAUGUUAAUCUGGCUCCUUGCCCUCACUCAGUAAAUCUAAUCCACAGUUUGAAAUAACUCAUUCAGUAGAAUAACAAAAUUAGGAACUGAGUGCCAGGACAGCAUAUUUUAUAUGUGCUGCCCAGCUCACUCUCCCUCUACCUACCCAGCCCCCACAGCUGCUUUGUUUGCUUCCUUGCAGCUGCUGCUCUGGUUUAAUUUACUGAGAUGCCAUUAGUUAGGAGAUGGAAGCAAGAACUUACCAGCCAGCCUGCACUGGUUUUUGGAGCCUCAGCUUUGCCUUUUCCUUUCCAUCUCCCUUUCUGUGGGUUUUCAGCCAGGACAAGGUUGCUGCUGCUCAUCCAGUGCAGGCUGCAGCCUCGUGCACAUCACAAAAUCACAGUAGUCCUCCUUUGCUGCUGGUUGUUGAUGGGGACCAGGGCUGGGGAAGCAGGGACAGGUAUGAGGGGAGGAUAUCGAAGGUCAAAGCAAAAGAUUAGCAGGGUGAAACACGGAUCCGGACUCCAGCAGGGAUGCUGGAGAUCAGAGGCGAUGCGUAAGAGCAGCAAGGAGUGAGGGAGUUGUCAUUGUCCCUUUGCUGGCCUCUGUAAGCCACAUGAGCCCAACAUCUUCUCAGUUGGUCAAACCAUACUGCCUUAUGAAAGCAGAAGGAAAGGGAAAUACAGCAGUGUCUGUGGUGCACAGGUAACUCUGUGCAGGAAUGAUAUUUCCUUCAGGGUGCUGGGUGGGUACCAUGGUGUCCCCAUGGACACGCCCUGUUGUCCUUGUCAGCACGGUGCCACAAUUCAAGUUAGCUCUGAAUUGAGAUGAAAUUAAUCAUUUCAAAUCAUUGCUAUUGUUAUUCCACACUGUCUUAAUUCCUCUAUUUUGCUUCUUUCUCAAUCAGUGAAGGAGAACCCAGAUCUCCUGGUAGGUUUUCACAUUAGAGUUGUAAGUGGUUUGUUUCCAGGUUCUCCCAAGCAGCUCUGCAGAGGGUCAGAGGACUGGGAAAAGUGGUGUGCAAUUGGGUUACCAGGAGAAUAAAACCAGGACAACUAGGCAAAGACAAAUCAGUCAGGCAGGAGGGUUAAAACACUAGCUUUUCUUACUGGUUUUUAUCCAAUCUGUGGCGAAGAGGCAGGAGGGGUCUCGCCUCUGCUCUCCAGAUCCAUGUCCCAGCUGCAGGAGGUCAGGGACAGCAAAGGCUACUUGGCUGCAAGAAUCAAGCCUGAGAUUUCAGAAGCAGAAAUGAAUAGAAAAGAGAAAUUAGUGGCAAGGUAAAAGGUAGAAAAGGGAAGAAGGAAAAACCUCCUGGAUGUUUGUUCUCUGCUGUUACAGAGUUGAGAACCACUGCAAGUGCCCCUGCGCCCACCCUGCCUUGUGAGAUGGCUGAUGUUGCAGCACGCGCACACAGACACACACCCACACACACCCGCCUUGGCAUGAUGCUGGGAAGGAGGCUUUCAGAAGCCAACAAGAUGAACAAUUAUGCCUUCUGUGCAAAGCAACAAGACCCACAUCUCCAGUCCCCAGUCAUGUCCUAGCAAUCUAAUAAAAAGGGAGAUUAGCCCCUCUUUCCUCUCUUACAUCUCCUUAAUGCUGUCAUUUUAUUCACACUUUGCAAAGCAAAUAAACCAGCAAAUUGCUUGCUUUAAUGAGCUGAAAUUAAACUCAGGCUGCUGAUAAAAUGCCUUUUCUCCUUUCUGUUGUUGGGAAGGACUCAUCUGAUAGGCAAUGUACAGGAAAGAAGAGAAAACACACAGCAGGAGCCUUAUUGAACGUGUUUGAGUCAUUUACGGUUGCUCUUCUUCAUCACCAACACCUCCAAUUAGAUGAGGGAGUCACAUGGGUGACGAGAAGGCUAUAGGGGAUCAACCUGUCAAGGUCCAUGGAAGGUCUGUCUCCGCUCCUUGCCCACAGGAUGGUCCCGCUCCGCUAGCUGAUGCCCUCUGACACAGGCUGCAGCCCACAGCCUUCCCAGGGAGGAGUGACAAGAAACCUUCCUCUGCAAGAAAAAGGCUGGUUUGGCUCUGCAGAGCAAUCACAAACAUAAGCUUGCCCAGAAGGAUGGCUGGGUCAAAAUGGGAGUUAGAGGAGACAGAAUAAGUGCUUGCUAAAGAGAAUAUGCCAAGAUGCGUCACUCCCUGCUGCCUGUGCUGUCUCAACUCGGCAGGGCUUCCCCUGCCUGCGGGAGGUGCCCGUAGUGCACAAACCCGUGAAGGAGGGCAGGGAGAUGCUCGCACCAAGGGCAAGCACUUCAGGGCAGCAGGCAAGGAAAGCAUCCUCUGUGCCAUCCCAAAGGGACAGCUGGGGCACACCAUUGCUUAUGGCUCUGCAGGUCAGGACCACCCUUCUCUCACACCCUUAGGGGCAAUGUGCACUCCCACUGGAGGCACUCUGAGGAGUUGAAGACCAGGCUGGUCCCUGUGGCAGAAGAGAGUGGGCACAUCUAGAGCUCAGCUUGCAGCUAGAGGGAGAGGAAUUCUCCGCUUGAAGCACAAGACAUCUGCUGGGAUUUUCAUCCCAACAAGAGGAGCUCAGGGCACUUUCCUUCAGUCUCCCACAGCCCCGUGAAGUGCCAUCAUUAUCUCACAGUACCGGAGAGGAGACUGCAGCGCAGAGAGGUUAAUUGAGUUGCCCAGAGCCGGGAGGGAUGUAGCAGCAGACGUCUUUCAGCCUGGCACUGCAGCCUGUGCCUCCCUGUCAGCUGGAGAGGUGGUAAGGGGGGGUCACUUACCUGCAGUGCCCCAAGGAGCACAGUCUCUCUUCCCUUCUUCACUGGUUCCAAGGGCUUGGCUAUGCCAAAAUGGGCUGCCAGGUCCUGGCAAUGCAUCCCAGGGCAGACACAGCACAUCUUGCAAAUGUGCUCCUGCCAGUGCAGCAGGUACUGUUCCCCCAAAUGGUGUUACCCACAGUACCAGUGUCACUGUGCUGAUAGAAGGGCUUCAGCUAGAAUAGCAAUGUAAAAGCUGUGUAAAUGCUAAAGUCCAGGUUUCUACCCCCAGGAAGGAGGAGACCUGAGAUUCAGCUGCCUUGCCCUCAGCAUUCCUUCCACCCAAGCCCCACAUCUCAUAAACUUUUGAAAACCUGCCUUUGUUGAGUUUUCUGCCAAUUGUAUCUGGGAAAGGACAGAACCAUGGUCUGGGAAGGCAAAGAGAGGCCUGCAAGUACCCAUGCAGGGCCCCACAGAAACAUCUUAGGGCCAGUACAUCUCACCCACACGCAACUGCACAUCCACUGCAGACCGUACCGUCUGCAAGAAGGGUGUACUGCACACCUGCCCUCCGUGGAGGCACUGAAUGUCUGGCUGUUGUUUUCCCCCACAGCUGCCCCUAGCAGCUGGUGGGGCGUCUGCUGGAGGACAAGGUGGCCGGAGAGUCUCAUGUGCAGAGCGCUGACACGAGAGCAGAUCUUGUUAUUCGUGUAAUGGAAACCCAACUGUGCCAUCAGGGAAUAGAUUCAUUGUUCACAAUCCAGAAAGAACAAAUAAACUGUUUUACUGCAUAUUAUUACUGGCCUGUUUACUGAGGCAUAAACUGUGAAUGGUUAACAGGGAUGUCUGCAGUGAAACAUGGUCUGCUUCACUGCCUGGUAUCAUGGGUAGAAAAGAACCUGGUUUCUUCAGAACAAGGGCAAGGGUAUGGCAUCUGCUUCUAAAUGCCCCUUGACAAUCAGCCUCAUGUGAUUUUCCAGGCAUGCAGCACCAAGCACAUUCCCUUCACUGCCUGGGCACUGGGAAAUGGUUUGGAAACAAAUUUCUGGAUUUAUAGUAUUUUGCAGAUGCAAUGAAAAACAAUUUAGAUGUAAGAUGUGCCCUUGUUUCCUUCAUGGAUGCCCAAGAAACCUCUAGUUCCUACCAGCUGUGUUCCAAGGAGUGCUGGUGGUGUCUUUCUAGUCUGUCCUGGGAUAAGGGACACAACCAGAGCUCCUAUCCCCAACAAAAGUCCCAAGAAGGAUUUUUCUAGAUAGGCAAUGAUGUUUUCUCUCCAUUGUGGCCAACUCCAUUUCUGCCACACCACCUCACUGCAUCUGUCCUACCAGCCCAGAGAGAUAUUAGGCAGCAAAGAUGUCCAUGGAUGAUAUUUUCAACAUCUUGUGGAAAAGCAUGACCCAGGAGAUGCUGGUGCUCGUGCAGUUCCCUCCUCUCCACUUUUGCCUUCCUGUUUCCCUAAGAAAUUACAAAGGGAAGUAGAAGUUGUGUCCAUGGAUAUGUAUGUUAAUAUCCAAAAUUCCAAAAAUUCAGGAAAAAGUAAUGGAAAAUGUGAGCCAGGAGUGAGAGUUUUUCUGUGAGAGGUGAGGCUGCUGGCAGCCCCAUAUGUUUGUGUCUAGUGAAGACUCUUCCUGGUCUUCAAACAGCUGUUUCUGGCUGGGGAGGAAAGGUCUUAUCCCAUCUUCUGCAAAUACUCUUGUCAUGUCACUGAGUGGUUGAGGGUUUUCCCCGCCUCUGCAUCAUUUCACGCAGGAGGGAGAGAGAGGUCUUGGAGACAGGCAGCAAGCCCCAACCACAGACAAGGACAUCAGGUGGUAGGCAAUCAUGCUAGUGUGUUUUGCAGUCAAAAAGUGCCCUGAAACUACUGCUCAGGUUCCCAGAAACAGGACAGUCACUUGAUGCUGGGCUUUAUCCUAGAUGCCACACAGCAGUGCAGUCAGAGAGACACAGUGUCCUCAACCAGCAUCCUUUUCUGUGGGCACUGCUGCUGCACACACCAGCAUGCGAGACAGGAUUCCCCUCAGCAAAACACUGCAGCAUCAAAUCUACAUCAGAGCGAGUUGUCUAGACUUCAUCUGCUCUCAGCAGAGAGGAACAGACACUUCUGGGGCAUCACUCCUCUCCUCAUAAGGUAGACACCUAAAUAGGUCACACGAACAGUGCCCUGGAUGCAUGCUGGUCUCUCAACUACCUGUAAUGUGAUGCUGGACAACAGGCUCAGAGGACGACCUCCAUGGUCAGUGACCACCUUCCCUCGUGCUGCCAAAUGCCACUGGUGGCAGCACCCCAGUAAACCAAAGGCUCCUUGAAAGGUGGUAGCCAGAGUUAGAAGGCAACUGCCUAACAUUAAGAGGGUAAUUGGAUGCAUCUACACCACCUGUAAAUGCUGUUUUUCCUUUGUGUUUAGUUUGUGCUUGUG